GACGAACGCUGGCGGCGUGCCUAAUACAUGCAAGUCGUGCGGACCUUGUUGAAAGCUUGCUUUUAAAAGGUUCGCGGCGGACGGGUGAGUAACACGUGGGCAACCUGCCUGUAAGACUGGGAUAACGCCGGGAAACCGGGGCUAAUACCAAAUCGUUUUUUCCUCCGCAUGGAGGAAAAAGGAAAGGCGGCUUCGGCUGCCCCUUACAGAUGGGCCCGCGGCGCAUUAGCUAGUUGGCGGGGUAAUGGCCCACCAAGGCAACGAUGCGUAGCCGACCUGAGAGGGUGAUCGGCCACAUUGGGACUGAGACACGGCCCAAACUCCUACGGGAGGCAGCAGUAGGGAAUCUUCCGCAAUGGACGAAAGUCUGACGGAGCAACGCCGCGUGAGUGAAGAAGGCCUUCGGGUCGUAAAACUCUGUUGCCGGGGAAGAACAAGUGCCGUUCGAACAGGGCGGCGCCUUGACGGUACCCGGCCAGAAAGCCACGGCUAACUACGUG
rnacentral:rRNA from 1 species